rnacentral:lncRNA from 1 species
CUACAACAACACCCAAACAAAUGUUGCAAUAUAUACGCAACAACUACUGCAACAUGCAGAUUAAAGUAAUUGAAACAACAUAUCAAAAGCAGUAUUGUAACAACGAAUCAAACCUACUGCAACAUCUAAAAAGAACCAUUACAACAAACAUCGAAAUAUGAAGCCGAGAGCUUGCCGAAAUCCUAACCUGUUGCAACAUCACAUGAAAAUAUACUACAACAACACGAGAACACAUUUGCAACACGCACGAGAGCUGAACUCCAAGACCUCGUCGAAACCCUAACCACCACCAUAUCUCUUAGAUCGAGAGAGAGAGAAAGAGAGAG